UUAGUUUUCUCUUUCUUUACGGAGCAUGAUUAAGUAUAGUGGUGGUUGUCUCUUAGUCUGGUAUAGAUAAGUGGUUUUUGCACCGUUUUGUUAGUUAUUUUUCUUUCGCUUUUGUAUGUUAAAUUCUUGUUUUUUUAUCUUCUUUUAUGUGUGAUUGCGUGUUUUCUUUGAUUUCAUGCUAAAAAGAUUGUCCCGGACAAAAUAGUAGUCAAGAGGAACAAAAUGUGACAGACUUCAGAAUAAAAU
rnacentral:lncRNA from 1 species